rnacentral:lncRNA from 1 species
AUAAUCAAACUAGUUAUAAAACUGUGCAUGUCCAUUCAUGCAACUUCAUAAAUAUGAUUUGCCAUUAUUCCAUACUUUAAAAUUCAUACUCUCAUAUGGUAGUAUAGCUAUGGCUGCUCUUAUUCCCACGGCAAGGCCUUUACCACUGCAGGGUCAUCUUCCAGUUACUAUUACCCACUGGCGGAGGCCGUAAAGCCAAGUUACUUUUACCCACUAGCGGGAGUCGUAUGCCUAAUUACUGUUAUCCACUGGCGGGAGUCGUGCAUAGCAAUC